GAGGAAAAGGUACAUCAAAUAAAUUUAAAUUCAAAUUUGAAUUGCCACAAAAUGCUCAUGGUUUGGAACCCAGGGCUCUGAAAAUAAAACUACUUCCUCAACCAUAAAAAAUAAAUCUGGAAUGUUACUCUAACAUAGCCAAAAUUUCAGUCCUAUUAUUCUCCCUUUUUGUUUAUAUAUGUGUAUAUAUGCAUAAGGUAUGAGUAUAUGUAUAUGUAUGUAUUAUGUGCUUUCAUAUGUAUGUAUAUAUCCCCAGAAUGGGGAAUGGGGAGAUGAUUUAUUUUUAGUUUAAACAGGAAUUUUGGAUAGCAAAAAGAAAAAAAAAAAUAAACAGGUUUGUUUUCUGUUCCUUUGAAGGAAAAAAAAAGAAAAGAAGAAAUACAUCCCAAACCAGUUGGACUGCAUUCUUGGUAACAUAUUACCUAUUUCCUGACACCAGAAAGUAAAAGUACAUACCUUAUAUAAAGAACUAUGGGUUAUAAAUGUGCUAUUUAUAGCAUGGUGUCCCUGGGAUUCAAGAAUCAAAAAAAGAAAAAUCAUGUCCAUCACGUUACCCGUGAAGAAAUGCAAUUUCCUACAAAAUCAACUCAGAGUAGAAGACCAGAUCUACCCAUUAGAAAAACAAUGAGGACCAUAAGAACAAUAAGAGAAAGAGCUUCAUGUAAUGCAGAUUGUUUGUGAAGGGACCAAGAAGUUAUGAGGUUUGUAGUCUAAAGCCAUGAACUACCUUAGACAUGGGUUGUCCUCAUUUAUGUGGUUUCUUUCCCUGAGUAGUUUCUAUGAAUAUGUAACCCCACAAAUCGCCACAAAUAUUCUGUAUGUAUUGGUAAGAGAAUGCAAUCUGCAUUUAUGCAUGAAAUUUGAUAUAGUGAUCAUUCUUGCAUUGCCUAUAUUUAAUGUGAAGUAUUGAUUAUUAUCUCUACAAUAUUCAACAGUUUUUUCAUCCUAGAAAUUGCCUUUGUCAUCAUGCUCCAGCAACUUUCUCAUCC
rnacentral:lncRNA from 1 species